GUCAGUGGUGGCUUGGUGGUUAAGGCUCUGAGUUACUGAUCAGAUGGUUGGGGGUUCAAGUCCCAGCGCUGACA